GGGGCUGUAGCUCAGUGGUAGAGUGCUCACCUAGCAUGUGAGAGGGCCUAGGUUUUUUUCCUCAGCACCA
rnacentral:tRNA from 1 species